rnacentral:lncRNA from 1 species
CGAACUUGGAGUGGCCAGCCCCAGGCGCCGGCUACCCCUUGUGCGCCAGAGGCGUGCGGCUGGCGGGUGGAUUUGGCUCUCCGUUGUCCCACCCGGCUUAUCCCAAUGGGCGCAGAUGCGCUCGGCCGCUUCGCUUCGCCGCUCCCUUUCACGGUGGGCAGUGCGGGCUGCCCAGAGUGGACUGAACUCCGAGAUGUACACUUUGAUAGGGAGCAGGAAUUGGUGUGUGCUAUCUGUGGUUGGUCACUCAGGCUGACCAUCUCAUUUGGGACCUACACACUCAGUUGGCUGAGUGUAAGAGCUGCUUUUGUGGUGAACAACACAGGCCCACUUCUCUCCCCAAGACUGGAAUGAGCUGGUUAAGUGUGGGAAGAACAGGGUACUAAUUACAUUAUCUUUCCUACAACUGGAUUGGAAGGUGGAAAGGGAGGAAAAAAACCUGUGUCAAGGGCCUCCCCAUCUCCUCUUCCAGUCAUAAGCCUGCCUCUCCCUCUCCAAGUCUGGAAUGGGGCCUACCCGGAUCCAUUCCCAGAAGCAGCUGGUGCCAGCUGGUUUGGGCACCUGCUCCAGGACCUGUCAGUCUGGUCACUCUCUUCCAAGACCCUGUGCCACUCAUCUGAGCACGUGAUUUUGCCCGUGGAGAUAAUCGAGUGUAGAUGAAGCUGCCCUGACUGCAGAGUCAUCUCAGUGCCCUAGGAGGUGACCCACUAGGCAGACACGGAAAUGUUAAAACAAAGCAGAGCUCUGCAUGAAAGCGUGGCCUGAUUAUACUGGUUUCACCUGCCAGCGGCCCUCAGUGUCCUCUCCAGGGAAAGCCUACACUACAACCCAAAAUAGAAUUACUGAGGUACAAUGUCUGCCUUGAGAAAUGCUAAGUAGAGCUUUACUUCUCCAAAAGACCGGUAUUUCCUUUGUAUUUCACACCACUGGCUUCAUGUCGAAACUCAGCUGUUAGAACUUCCCCCUAGAGAUGCCUGCCUGCUGGAAAACGGAAAGGCUAUUUCAGACUGGGCUGCCCUCCAUAAAAAGGAACCCGGCUCCACGGGGUUAAGGCAAGGCCUGAAUCCAGGGCAGCAAUUCCUUAUACUGUAUCAACAGCCUUUCAUGCUGCUUGGCCUUUCAUGUAACUCUGAAGCAGUUUUUUUUUUUUUUAAUCGAUGUAUGCUAAGUAAACAUAGCUUUGUUUCUGUCUUCCAC